rnacentral:misc_RNA from 1 species
UACGGAGGAUCCAAGCGUUAUCCGGAAUUACUGGGCGUAAAGAGUUGCGUAGGUGGCAUAGUAAGCAAGUAUUGAAAUACUCCCGCUCAACGGGAGGGCCGGUAUUUGAACUGCUAAGCUAGAGGACGAGAGAGGUGAUUGGAAUUCCCAGUGUAGGGGUGAUAUCCGUAGAUAUUGGGAGGAACACCGAUGGCGUAGGCAGAUCACUGGCUCGUUCCUGACACUGAGGCACGAAAGCAUGGGUAGCAAACGGG